rnacentral:rRNA from 1 species
GACGAACGCUGGCGGCGUGCUUAACACAUGCAAGUCGAACGGAAAGGCCCUGCUUUUGUGGGGUGCUCGAGUGGCGAACGGGUGAGUAACACGUGAGUAACCUGCCCUUGACUUUGGGAUAACUUCAGGAAACUGGGGCUAAUACCGGAUAGGAGCUCCUGCUGCAUGGUGGGGGUUGGAAAGUUUCGGCGGUUGGGGAUGGACUCGCGGCUUAUCAGCUUGUUGGUGGGGUAGUGGCUUACCAAGGCUUUGACGGGUAGCCGGCCUGGGAGGGUGACCGGCCACAUUGGGCCUGAGGUACGGCCCAGACUCCUACGGGAGGCAGCAGUGGGGAAUAUUGCACAAUGGGCGGAAGCCUGAUGCAGCAACGCCGCGUGCGGGAUGACGGCCUUCGGGUUGUAAACCGCUUUCGCCUGUGACGAAGCGGGAGUGACGGUAAUGGGUAAAGAAGCACCGGCUAACUACGUG